rnacentral:rRNA from 1 species
CAGCAGCCGCGGUAAUACAGAGGGUGCGAGCGUUAAUCGGAUUUACUGGGCGUAAAGCGUGCGUAGGCGGCUUCUUAAGUCGGAUGUGAAAUCCCUGAGCUUAACUUAGGAAUUGCAUUCGAUACUGGGAACCUAGAGUAUGGGAGAGGAUGGUAGAAUUCCAGGUGUAGCGGUGAAAUGCGUAGAGAUCUGGAGGAAUACCGAUGGCGAAGGCAGCCAUCUGGCCUAAUACUGACGCUGAGGUACGAAAGCAUGGGGAGCAAACAGGAUUAGAUACCCCUGUAGUCCCUGUCUCUUAUAC